rnacentral:rRNA from 1 species
AGAUUGAACGCUGGCGGCAGGCCUAACACAUGCAAGUCGAGCGGUAGAGAGGUGCUUGCACCUCUUGAGAGCGGCGGACGGGUGAGUAAAGCCUAGGAAUCUGCCUGGUAGUGGGGGAUAACGCUCGGAAACGGACGCUAAUACCGCAUACGUCCUACGGGAGAAAGCGGGGGACCUUCGGGCCUCGCGCCAUUAGAUGAGCCUAGGUCGGAUUAGCUAGUUGGUGAGGUAAUGGCUCACCAAGGCGACGAUCCGUAACUGGUCUGAGAGGAUGAUCAGUCACACUGGAACUGAGACACGGUCCAGACUCCUACGGGAGGCAGCAGUGGGAAUAUGGACAAUGGGACGAAAGCCUGAUCCAGCCAUGCCGCGUGUGUGAAGAAGGUCUUCGGAUUAGUAAAGCUAACUUUAAAGGUUGGGAAGGAAGGGUUAGUAACUUUAAGUACGUUGCUAACUUUGACGUUACCGACUAGAAUAAGCACCGGCUAAC